rnacentral:rRNA from 1 species
GACGUAGGGCGCGAGCGUUGUCCGGAUUUAUUGGGCGUAAAGAGCUCGUAGGCGGCUUGUCGCGUCGAAUGUGAAAACUCGGGGCUCAACCCCGAGCUUGCAUUCGAUACGGGCAGACUAGAGUUCGGUAGGGGAGUCUGGAAUUCCUGGUGUAGCGGUGAAAUGCGCAGAUAUCAGGAGGAACACCGGUGGCGAAGGCGGGACUCUGGGCCGAUACUGACGCUGAGGAGCGAAAGCGUGGGGAGCAAACAGG